GGAGUCGGCUAGGCAGCCGCUGUCAGGACCGGGUGUUUCCCGGCGCCUGGUAGAGGAAAGUCCGGGCUCCAUAGGGCAGGGUGCCAGGUAAUUCCUGGGCGGCGUGAGCCGACGGAAAGUGCCACAGAAAACAUACCGCCCAGCGUCUUCCCCAGGGGCAGGCCAGCUGGUCUGCGUGUCCCUGAGGGAAGGCGCCGGGUAAGGGUGAAAAGGUGCGGUAAGAGCGCACCGCGCCGGUGGUAACACCGGUGGCAGGGCAAACCCCACCCGGAGCAAGACCGAAUAGGGACCUUACGGUGUGGCCCGCACCGGGUCCGGGUAGGUCGCUCGAGGCGCGUGGUGACACGCGUCCCAGAUGAAUGGCUGCACUAGACAGAACCCGGCUUAUCGGCCGGCUCCCGUU
rnacentral:RNase_P_RNA from 1 species